rnacentral:rRNA from 1 species
AGAGUUUGAUCCUGGCUCAGAUUGAACGCUGGCGGCAUGCUUUACACAUGCAAGUCGAACGCGGGUGAGGGGCAACUCUCACCUGAGUGGCGAACGGGUGAGUAAUACAUCGGAACGUGCCUCGUAGUGGGGGAUAGCUCGGCGAAAGCCGGAUUAAUACCGCAUACGAUCCACGGAUGAAAGCGGGGGACCGCAAGGCCUCGCGCUAUGAGAGCGGCCGAUGUCCGAUUAGCUUGUUGGUGAGGUAAAGGCUCACCAAGGCGACGAUCGGUAGCUGGUCUGAGAGGAUGAUCAGCCACACUGGGACUGAGACACGGCCCAGACUCCUACGGGAGGCAGCAGUGGGGAAUUUUGGACAAUGGGGGCAACCCUGAUCCAGCCAUGCCGCGUGAGUGAAGAAGGCCUUCGGGUUGUAAAGCUCUUUUGGCCGGAAAGAAAAGGCGUCGGAUAACACCCGGCGUUCUUGACGGUACCGGCAGAAUAAGCACCGGCUAACUACGUGCCAGCAGCCGCGGUAAUACGUAGGGUGCGAGCGUUAAUCGGAAUUACUGGGCGUAAAGCGUGCGUAGGCGGUCCCGCAAGUCCGCUGUGAAAGCCCCGAGCUUAACUUGGGAACUGCAGUGGAAACUAUGGGACUUGAAUCCGGCAGAGGGGGGUGGAAUGCCACGUGUAGCAGUGAAAUGCGUAGAGAUGUGGCGGAACACCGAUGGCGAAGGCAGCCCCCUGGGCCGAGAUUGUCGCUCAGGCACGAAAGCGUGGGGAGCAAACAGGAUUAGAUACCCUGGUAGUCCACGCCCUAAACGAUGAUCACUAGGUGUUGGGGAAGCGAUUCUCUAGUACCGCAGCUAACGCGUGAAGUGAUCCGCCUGGUGAGUACGGUCGCAAGAUUAAAACUCAAGGAAUUGACGGGGACCCGCACAAGCGGUGGAUGAUGUGGAUUAAUUCGAUGCAACGCGAGACCUUACCUACCCUUGACAUGUACGGAAGCCG